UACGUAGGGGGCAAGCGUUGUCCGGAUUUAUUGGGCGUAAAGAGCGUGUAGGCGGCCUGACAGGUCUGCUGUGAAAACUCGAGGCUCAACCUCGAGAUGUCGGCGGAAACCGUCUGGCUAGAGUCCGGAAGAGGAGAGUGGAAUUCCUGGUGUAGCGGUGAAAUGCGCAGAUAUCAGGAAGAACACCUAUGGCGAAGGCAGCUCUCUGGGACGGUACUGACGCUGAGGUGCGAAAGCGUGGGGAGCAAACAGG
rnacentral:rRNA from 1 species